AGAUGAACAGGAGCUUGGGAGGGGACAGAGACAAGAUAGCUGACAAAAAGAGAUAAAACGGACGCUGCAUACAGAAUGAGGUCACACUCAGUAAGAAGAGGUGGGGAAAAGAGGGAACAGGGAGAAGUUUCCUCCCCCCAAGAGACAGGAAGCACAGCCCCUGCUAAGGUCUCUAUGUGUCCUGAAAUAAAAGCAGGGGCUCUGCAGAUGCGAGAAAUGCAUCAUGGGCUGCAUCACAGCCUCUCGCUGUGACUAACUCUCUGUCAGCUGCAGAAACACACAGCACGUGUCCUAGGCUCGCAACACAAGCCUGUGACCAUCUGCACCCAGCUCACAGCAAAGCAGGAACCGUGAGGAGAGAUCUCCAAAAGAUGUGCGGGCAGGUGGGAUGGGCCGUGCCGUGUCCCCAUGUCCAUGUCCUCCUGCUGCUGGUGUUUGGUACUGCUGUGAGCACCCAGGGCAUCUGCAGUUCCACAGCUGAUGGUACUCUCCAGGCUCCAGCCCUGUACCUUAACGCUUCCAGAGCUCAGGAAGGGGAAAUCGUCCUGGCUCAAUGUAUCCUUCAGAAGCUGGUUCCUGCUGCCAGAUUUGUCUUCUGCAAGGAUGGGAUGGAACUGUACAGCAUGAAAGCCCAUCAGCAUACGGUCAUCUACUCCAUGCUGCUGAACAUCUCUGCUAGAAGCAGUGGGACAUACACGUGUGCGUACCAGCAGAGGAACGAGGGCAAUUGGCUAAGGAGAUCUCCCCUCAGCACUCCCUUGGAUCUACAUGUCACAGGUCAUGUGUCCAAUUCCACGGCAGGAACCAUAACUGCAGACACCAACACUCCUCUGAACCUCACAGUCAUUCAUGUGGUAUCAGUUACUGUCACCCUCCUGCUGUCUGCAGCCACCUUCUGGACCAUUAGGAAAGGUGCCUGCCGGGAGAGAUGCCGAAGGAAGCAGCACGUUCCCAGCCAGCAGGUGCAAGCCACCGACUACGGAGAAAUCCAGUGUGAGUGCUGGGCACCCCUUUUCCAUGGGGACCCCCUUCCCUUGGGCUCCCAUUUGCCAUCCCACCUGUCCCUUUCCCACUUGGACAUGCAAAAACCAUUUCUCAAGAGUCAGUUUCUCCAGGGUGCUUUCAUCACAGUGCUCAUAGUGACAAAUCCCAUUUGCACAGCGGGUCUCACACUUCAGACUCUGCUGUUCUCCCAUCUACAGUUCCCCUCACUAUGGUGUUUGUUUCAAGCACAGACCAAAGCUCAGCCCUGCACUGGAGGAUAUUGCUGUGUACACAGACAGCAGUGGGGAAAUAUCUCAUAGAUAUUUGCUCUGCAAGUGCAGGCAGCUGCAAAGGGAGGAUGCUGUGGUCAGGGAUGGGGGAUAUAACGCCACCACACCUGCACCUUGCUCUGUUUGCAGCUUGAGUUUCAUUGCAGAGCAGCAGGCUCAGAUGUGCUGUGUAAAUAUAGAAAAUGCCUCAAAUGAUGGGAAAAUGCCCCCCCAAAGCCCAGCAUCUCUGGUCCUCCAAAUCUUCCUGCAGAGUGGUGCAAUGGGGGUGGACAGUCAGUCCAGAGCCCCGCGGGGUCUGCUGCCCAAACCAGUGGUGGGUCGCCCCCCUUCCCACGUGAAUACUGAGCACUCAUAGUGUGUUUUUUUUCCCCACAGACUCAACCAUUGCCCACUUUCGAAGGGACAAGCCUCCCGUGAAGCAGAUGACCCGCAGCAGAGAUGCAUAGGCUUCAGCAUGCCAAGGCAACCAGGA